GGAGAGAUGACAGAGUGGACGAUUGUGCAGCACUGGAAAUGCUGUGUACUCGCAAGGGUACCGAGGGUUCGAAUCCCUCUCUCUCCG
rnacentral:tRNA from 1 species